rnacentral:lncRNA from 13 species
GGAGAAAUUUGGGGUUUUUCGGAAUCAAUUUAGGGAUAUUUAGGGAGAAUCCGAGGCUGCUUUACGGAGAAAUUGAUAAAGGUAUCUGGCAACACUGGUGUGCAGUGAUGGGAUAUGGGAGGGAACUUCCCUAUUUCGAGGGAUCUUUUUGGCGUAAAGGGAAAAAGGGAUUUUUUUUCUAAUAUUGCAGUUUGGAAGGGAAUUUUUACAGUAGUCACUUGGUCUUAGUUUUUCUGAUAAAUUAAUAAAAAUAUGCUGUUUUUAUAAGUUUACACAAAACACUUUUCUAUACUAGAAUUGACCGCGUUCGGCAGACUCAAUAGUUGUAAGUUUUCCGUUGAGUAUUGUUUGUUGAUUGGUUGGUUCUAAAAGUAAAAACUAAUCACAUUUGAUUACUACUAAGCGGUUUGUUCUGCUGAACACAUUCAUCGAAUCGUUACCGUUUGUAUCGAUUUCAUAAAAAAUCGAAGGCGAAAAGAUCGAUCUUUCGCAAAAUCGAUUCUUUUCUGGCAAUCUUAGCCUUUACGGUCUAUACUCUACACUCUACAUAGUCGCAGCUCGCAGCAAAGUAAAUUCAAAUGUUAUUUCGUGUGAUACCCAGUGAUACCAAAGCAGUCUAUGGUCCCAGGUUCAUGUGCACAGAAUUAAUUUAAUAUCAGCUCGGCAUAGAACAAUAAUAUGAAAACGGAUACUGAAGAGAACGAAAAAAAAAACAAACUGGAACAAAAA